ensembl:scaRNA
UGGACAUUUAUUUUUAUUCAGUUUCUUCUCAAGGUGAAGAUAACUCUUUGUAAAUGUCCUAGAGAAAUAUAGUAGCUUUCUGUUCACCCUUUGCAAGUGAAAAGGGUGGAUCGUUCCACUGCUGACAUUU